ensembl:Y_RNA Y_RNA Y RNA
GGCUAGUCCAAUGGUAGUGGGUUAUCAGAACUUAUUAAUGUCAGUGUCACUGAAGUUGAUAUACAACCCCCCACUGCUAAAUUUGACUGGCUAAAA